AUUAUUCUUUUAACGCCAACCCUUUCUUCUCCUUCUGCUUCUUCUUCAGACGUUUAGAUUGACUAACGCCAACCUCUCUCUCUUCCAAAUACAGUUUCAAAACUUCAGACCUUCGGCUUUCUAACGCCAACCUCUCUCUUCCCUCCUUCGUCUCUUCCUCUCCUUAUUUAAGUGAAUCACUCCUUCAUACCUCAUCAAUAUUUCCCCUCCUUUUGCUCUUCCUAUCUUUCACGGUUUCAAAACUUCAGAAUUGCAGCUUUCUCUUCCCUCCUUCGUCUCUUCCUCUCCUCAUUUAAUUGAAUCAGAAAACAAUAUAUUUAAAGAAGAGCUCAGAAAUACUGAUAGACUUCACUUCAGUAAUUCAAUCAACACUCUGUUUCCUAUCCGUAUCCUUUUGUGAGAGGCAAAUUGGUCCGACCACAGGCCUAAGUUCAAGGCCACCGUCAACUUUAAUGGCGAGGAGUUGUUAGCUGCCUCCUCUGUACGAGCUGUCAAUAUCUACAUUGGCUAGAAGAGAAAAGCUCAAAAAUUAGGGUAAGGAAAAUUACCCCAAUCUGUGAUUAUUUGAAGCUAAGGUUAUACAACUUCAGGAGAUUGGAGGAAGAAUGUAUCCACCUUCCUUGUGCAGGCCGUGAGGAAAGAACAUAUCAAGAUUCAUUGUUUUUGAAUAGCUGCACCUUGCAGGUCAAUCUCCAUAUGUGGUUUACAUUAUUCUCAUCACGCUAUAAUGGAUAGUUUAUCAUUUGAACCUUAGACUGUAGUCAUAAUACAUGUGACUUUGUUUAAUGUACAUCUAUCUUCAGUGUCGAUUUGGUAGUUCUGCUACUUGCUGAGUUGUGUGGGAGGGUCAUUAUGGAUUGUACUGAAGCCUUUAUCCAUACCUUAAUCAAUAUUACUAAUUUCCUAUUUUAUAUAGAUGAUUGUGCAUUGAUUGGAUGUAUUUAAAUGUCUAAUUGAUUUAAUUGUCACUUAACUACAUAUGUUAAUCAAUUGUCACGUAAUUAGGUAUUGCCACAUUCACUAUGAUAAAUUGAUAAUAGAGUAGAGAAACUAACAAAAAAGGCCUAGAGUUAUUCAAACAAGAG